CAAUCGACAAUUUAUCAAUAUUUCGCAUUAAACGGAGGAACUUUAACUAUGUCUUAUUGCGGUUGACCAAGAGCAAUUGCCGCAGUUACAAGAAAUGGCCUGAAUCACUCUUAGUAUGCCGUAUUUUGGUAUAUUUUGGCACGGCUUACUGUUUUAUAAAAAAAAGUUAUUCACCAUGUAAAAAUAUCCUUAGAGAUAGGUAGUCUGUUCUGCGAGUAGAAAAUACUUGGUAUUUGGAGCAUUCUAUUUUUUAAUCUUCUUUUCAGGAUAAAAUUGAGGUAAACUGCAAAUAUGUAAAUGUAUCAUUUUGACACAGAUAUAGUGAAAUUAAUGUUUUACAGGUUUUAGGAAAGAAUAUUCAUAAACAUUUGAUGGCUGUUUUGUAAGAGCAUUCUUCAUAGCCAAGAAGAUUUCUGUAUCAGCGCAAAACGUUCACUCAAAAGGCAAAAGAAAGGCCACUAAAGAAGAACAAGAAAGAAAACCACCCUCUUUGAAAACAGAUGAAAGACCGUUGCAUGAGCAAACAAAAAAAAGAAGAAUGUGUGUAAAGCCACGGCCAGAGAAAUCAAUUGUGACAAGGAGUCACACUCACCAAAGUUUGCCUCCAAUGAUGGGAAUGGUACUACGUCCUAUGCCUACGUGCUGAAUAUUUCAUUAUGAACGAUUUCAACGAAAACUGAUGUUUAUACAUAUAUGUAUUUGUUAUAAAACAUACAUAUAGAUUACUAGAAAAACUUCUUCUAUCAGAAAACCGUAAUAAAUCUACAGAAUAAUGCGAACAAAACAGAAUGUUGCUUCAAUUUGAUGAUCGACUUUAAUUUUAUUCACUGUAGUUGUUUUCUUGUGUAAGGACUCUCGUUCACAUGUUCCUAAGCAUAUUUUAAAAACAAAUCUCGACAGACAUUUUCUCAAGCCUAUAACUACAUCAUUCUAAAAGGAAAUAUCUAAAUGUUUAUAAGGACACAGUUACAGUUUUGAGGAAAGUUUCAAGUUGGGACACAAUUCUUAUACAUGUGUCGGUAACUGAUGUGUUUUCUUUGAUGUUUACCUUUUCUGUGAUUAUAUCCAUAUUCUUUACACUCUUAUAAUUGACAACAACAUACAUUAAGUCAGGCCUUUGUCUGCACCUGGCAAGACCGGAUAUAAUAUCAGGCCUUAUGUGCUAUUUAUAGCCGCGUAACAAGGUAUACACUUCAAAUAUAAGAAAUAGACCCGUCCAUUCUCUUUCCCGCCAUACACAACUUCUUAAACAUAUUGUGACAAUACUCGGACGGAUCGUAAUUACAGCCUGCAUACCCUGAUAUCACUUUAUUCAUCGUUACUUUGAUCUAGAUUGUAUGUAUGAUAUAAAAUAAGUUCAAUUUUGAAAUCUUUUGCGCUGAAAACUGUUUUUGAAUAGCAAUCAUUUCAAUGAAGGUCUAACAGAAUGCUUGAUAAGAAAAAAAAAAUGGAAAAAAAAAAGAUUUGUCGUCAUUGCUUUAGUUAAUCACUAACGUACAACAUAUAAUUUCGUUAAAGCAAACAUUAGUAAUACACGUAGUUCACUUAUCAAGCAUUCUAUAUAAUGUUAUCCACAUCAGAAGCCAUGUUUCUAUAAAACUAUAGAAAUUAUUGCACGAUAUUUUUUCUAUUAAUUUUUAGUCUCCAUUUAUGUAACCCAAUUUUGGUCUUCAACAUAAACAUUGUCAAGGUAGUUCUGCAUAUUAGGGUCAAAUUAUUUAUAACAGUAUAGAAUUAAAAUAAACCCUAUUAAAACUCUGGAUAUUUAAAUAAUACUUGCCUAAUACGGAUAGAAUCGUAUGUUCAAAUGUAAAAGAAACUUGUCAAAAUUUUAAAAUCAGUUCGGGUUUUAACAAAUGGGUAAAUGAAAGGUAUAGGUCUGCUUGUUGUUUACAUAUGCCAGUGCCAGAGUGAUGAAAGUCACUCACAAAUUUCAUACUGAUUUAUGUUUAUUUUGUAUUAUUUCACGCAUCAACAGUUUUUUAUUUUAAAAUGCGUAAUAUGUCAUUUCUAAUAGUAUGCAGAACUACCUUCAGCUGCAAUAUCAAUGGAUUAUUAUGUAUCGUUUGUUGGAAAUUAGCAUGUAUAUGUAGAAAAAAAAAAUUAAGUUAAUAAAUAUUUAUCUUAAUUCAUAUUUCCUCUUGAAAAAUAAAAGAAAGAAAAA
rnacentral:lncRNA from 1 species